GAAAAAAUCAAGGAGUUUAUCAAAAAGUACGGUUUUUUGGGUGUUCUUAUUUAUUUUGCCAUUUAUUUUGCAAAUAUUGCUCUAUUUUUCCUCAUGAUUGAGUAUGGUUUAUUUAAACAGGGAGAUGUGG
rnacentral:ribozyme from 15 species